UACGUAGGGGGCUAGCGUUGUCCGGAAUCAUUGGGCGUAAAGCGCGCGCAGGCGGUUUCUUAAGUCCGAUGUAUAAGCCCGGGGCUCAACCCCGGGAGGCAUGGGAAACUGGGAGGCUUGAGUGCAGAAGAGGAGAGUGGAAUUCCUGGUGUAGCGGUGAAAUGCGCAGAUAUCAGGAGGAACACUAAUUGCGAAGGCAGCUCGCUGGGACGUCACUGACGCUGAGACGCGAAAGCGUGGGGAGCAAACAGG
rnacentral:rRNA from 1 species